CAAGGUUCAGGAUGCUGUGCCUAACUGGGUUCUUCUAAGCACCUACUGGGUUUUUAGAAAUCAGUAAUAACAAUGAUAAUUCACCUUAAUAACAGCCUGCCCCCCUCAGACCUCUUUCAUCUGAGUAACUCCCAGAGCUGAGAAAAACGGUAAUUAUGGAGCAGGUGCCACACCCCAAUGAUGAUGUGUUAUUAAUUCAUGAGCCCUGGCUGGGAAACUGAGGCCCAGGGAGAAGGCCCUUGCUCCAAUGGAGCUAAGACCCCCCAGUGCUGAAAGUUGCGGGGCAGUUGGGAACUGGAGAUGUCGGCUCCGCACCGGCAGUUUUAGGAACAUGUUCAUGAGAAGUGCGUUUCCUCCAGAUGUGGGUGGGGUGGAAGGUAUAGACAGACCCCAGAUGUGUGUCCCACGCUUUCUCACAAGGCUGCAGCAGGACCGAGUGGGCAGCCCUGGCAGGGAGUGAUGGCCUUUGUCUUUGAGUCCCUGCUCUACUCUCCUGGAGUGCAGAGAAGCAGGCCCACGGCUGCCUGAACCAUCAUCCCUAAACGAGGGGACCACAGGAUAAGAGAGGGCUCCGGACAGCUGCACGUCACAGCACAGUACAAGAGGCAAUGGAGUGUCAGGGAGUGGAGCAAGUCAAGAAGUGAGGACAGGGCCUGGCAUCUGUAAGGCCCUGGGUUCAAUCCUCAGCACAGGGAAAAAAAAAUGUCACUGUAAAACUGUGUCUUGGGAACAAGCUUAUCACUGUAGCACCUAUCCACCUUUGGCAAUGGUCUUCAAAUGAUGCGAUCCUUCCCACAGCAAGUGGGACUCGGCAGGGGAUGCCCUGCUGGCCCAAUAUCCAAGAGGGCAGGUGGAAACCCGCAGUAGGCCUUUCCCGUUUGUAUCCAAGGAGGGAAGCGGCGGACAUUCAAACUAGGAUCACGGAUAACAAGAUUCUGCAGCUAUGCGCACGGCCUACUGUGUGUGCCUAGCACAGCCUACUGUGUGCCUAGCACAGCCUACUGUGUGUGCCUAGCACGGCCUACUGUGUGCCUAGCCCUGUGCCGAUGCUGGGAACACAAACCUCAGCUCCCAGGGAACCGGAAGAGCCAAGGCAGGAAGCCAUCAAUGAUCUCAUCUUCUGUUGCUCCAGCUUUUCUUCAGCCAAUUAGAAGCUGACCAAAGCACCCAGGGAACCCUAGGCUAACGCUCUAAAUAGCUACCUCAGUUCAAGAACCGGCAUUCUUUGAUUUAAACACAACCAGUUUUCUCAUGAAUGAGAGACUAAGUCAGAAAACCAUGUAAACCAGAGUCGAGAAGCUUGAAUCCCAUCUUGGGGCACUCACCACCAUGUGAAUCACUUCUUUUCUGUCAGCUUCCCUGUUUGGGGUGGGGGUGUUGAGACAGGGUUUCUCUGUGCAGCCCUGGCUGUCCUGGAACUCACUCUGUAGCCCAGGCUGGCCUCAAACUCACAGAGAUCCGCCUGCUUCUGCCUCACGAGCGCUGGGAUUAAAGGACAUGGGCCACCAUACCCGGCUCAGUUUCCCCAUUUCUAACUUGAAGGUGGGUCUUGGACUAGAUUCUUCUCUAGGAUUCCUUCCAGCCUGUGGAGGCUCGACAUUGUUUUGAUGUGGUGGCAGAUCUCAGAUUGAUUUACAUAAAUUUGCAUGUUCAAUCAAAAACUCCAAACUCCAAGUAUAGAAAAUCCAAUCACUCCAUUAGUGCAGCCAGACAGGCUGGAGGGGCUGCCAGGUUCAGGCGAGGGUUGUCAAGGCGGCCGGCCGGCAGUAGCAACGGGACUGGGGGAGGGGCUGAGGGAAGCAGGAGUGAAAAACGGUACCUGUUCUAAGAGACAGAGGUCUGGUGACCCGGGUCUGCCCGCCGGGGCCCCUCAGCCCUCACUUGGGCUGUCCUUUCUCCUCCACAGGGCCUCGGGCUGGCCAGCCUCAGAGCCAUUCCGCAAGAUGGGAUUGCUGCGUCUGCCUAGCAACAGCUGCAUCCUUCACUCUGAUAGGAACUCCACCAGUAACUGCUUUCUGGGAAACUGACCUCCCUGGGAGUUUCCAUUAUCCAUUUCAAGGGCUUCACAACCGUGAGGGAGGUUUCUUGGGGUUUAACCUACAAGCCUCCUGCAGAAGCUUCCUAACACAGGGUAGCAGGGCUGAGGCUAGCGGGCUCCCCAGGCCUAGGACAGCUGGCAGAGUAAAAGACAAUGCAGGACAGACAAUGUGCCUCACAUCCCAGGGCCUCUUUAACCACCACAAUCUCCGACAAUACUCCCCUUCACCUGGGAGACCAAGGAUGAAAAUAAACAAGACUAUGAAGCCUUCUGGCUCUUGGGCUGGAAAGCAAGUCCUAACCUGGAGUACCAGAGUCCUGAGAGAGCCCUACCUCAAAGAGGUAAGGGGGCUGGGAAAAACAGGGCUGUGGCAGCGUCUCCUCCUCGCUGCUUGGGAGCUGGGGUGAGUACAGAGGUGCAGUGUGUGGAGCCAGCAGGUAGGAUGGGCAACAGCGGUGGGGCCCUCCUUGCCCUCUUCCCACAAGAGGGUGGAUGAAUGUGCUGGGCUCUCUGGCUCAGAUCCUAAAACAAGUCCCAACAGCUGAGAUGCAAACUGUCUCCUGGGAAUUGCCUACCCCGCUGGCCCUUGGCUGCCUCCUCCUCUCUCAACCCCUCCCCAAAGAUCCAACUCAAAGACUGGCCCAGUCAUGAUGUCUCACCUUGAUGGGUGGGCUGAGCCUGAGCCAGCAGGAGCUCAUAUCCCAAGGCACCAGGGUGAGCAGAAAAGGACUAUUCACAGGCAGAACAGAGUUCUGUUCUCUCAAUCCAAAAGUCUAAUCCUCAUCAACUGUGGCCCAGCAUUUUAGCUCUUAAUGGAGACACCCUGCUGGAGGACCUUCCUCCCCUCUCCAGUCGCCCACCAGUGGGAGGGAUUUUUAGAUCUUUCUGCUCCUACUGCUGAGUGUUGAAGAUGAAGGAAAUUGAGCCCCGUGGAAGCAAACUAUCUUGCUCAAGGUCAGAAAAGGCUGGAAGCGCAGGGCCCAAAGCGCAUCACUCUGGCCAUCUUGACAGCAACUCAGUGCCCACACACAAACCUUCCCUGCCUUCUGAUGAAGUUCUCUGCAGCCUGAGACAGCAGUCUCCCUGUCUAGGGUUUUCCUUCAAAGGCUGGAGCUGGAGGAGGAUACUAUGAAGCCAAAGACACCUUAGGCACAGACCACAGGCGCUGAAGGCAGAACCAAAUGAUUACUGUAGGAAUACCUCUCUAGACAAAAAUACUCGUGGUCUCUCUGGAGCAAGAAACUCCAUUCAUCUCACCCUGGGGUUGGGGUUCAAAAUCCGUGCGCCAGGCUUUCAGGCCAGAUUGGGGUGUGUGUGUGUGUAAGAUAAAAGAGGGUCUACAACAAAGCAAUUGCUCACUUCCCCUCAAAGGACUGGACACACAAUAGUGAGACAGACUCUUUCUCCAUGGUUCCUCAAACCAGUUCUGGUCCCGGCCUCUGUCUCCUACCACUUCCUCUGGCUGACAAUUGUGUUUAAGCAGGAGGACCCACUGGAGAAUGCAAAAGAGAGUUCCUGGAGAGGAAAAUGACAGAUUGCCUUUAAAGCUAAGGAAGCCCUCAAGCCUAAUUAAGACCCCUAGCUCCUGAGGAAGCGGGUCUUUAAAAGGCAGCUGCUAGGCAGGCUGGGUGGGUUUGGCUGAACCCUCUGGAAAGCCAGACCUAUGGGGAGGUGAAGGCCUUCUGUGCCCUUGGGACAGCGCCAGGGCUAGAGAGACAAGAGGGGCCUUCUGCCCGGGAUGUAGAGAGAGAGUUGGGGUCCCAACCGCCGCUUUCCCGGGCCUGCUAAACCAAGGGACUGUCAGGCACAGAUAAAUUCUCUGCAUUUUUUUUUUUUUUUUUAGCAUCCCAGCCCAAACCCAGAAAGCCUUUUCUGUCGGGGCUGCCCUGUCCACGCUCCAGCCCAGCCCUUCUCCCCCCUCAGCCUCUAUUCAGCAAGGAGCCUGUCGGGCUUCUUCCCCUAGCCCCUCGGAGCCUCAGUAGGGUUGUUCCCAAGACCCGGUCACUCCGCCUUUCCCCGCCUCCCCCACGCCCUACAGCCCCGGGCCACAGGGACUGGAAGGAGUACGACGGGGUGCCCCCAGGCUCCGGUGUGCGCCUGCGCUUUGGGGAGAGCCCCCUCCCUCGGCAACCCAGCACCGCUAAACAGUACCGGGACCGCGGGAUGCGGGUAGGGUGGGAGACGCAGUGGGGGCAAGGUUGACACUGAAAUGCCCAGAAGACAUCCAGCUGGAGAUGCCUGUCCAGGAAGUACAUGAACUAGCCACACGCUACUGAACAUCCGAAAUACGACUGAUCCAAAUGGAGAUGAACUUCACCUGUAUUGAAAUGCCAGACCUGGAAUCAUCAGUGUAAGGGGGCGUUGGUGGGUCUCACUCUACUGCUAACUGAAUGAAAACAUUUUGGAGAUAUUCGAUUACAUACCUAAAAUUUCUUUUUUUUUUCUUUUGGAUACAGGAUCUUGUCACAUAGUAGGUUGGCCUGGAGCUCCGCUGUAUACUCCACACUAUCCUCAGACUUGGCCUCGAAGUGCAGAGAUUAUGGGCGGAGCCCCCACACCCAGCUCAUGUCUUUUUACAAACGUUAAAGUAUACCCAGCCUCCUUCUCUGUUUAUGUCUGUCCUGAGGCCUGAAAAGGCUCAACCUACUGAUGCCAGCACCUUAGUCACACUGGGUUGAUAUACAGAUGAUCUCUUCUCAGAGAAAAGGGGUUGGAUGAGUCUCCAUGGUGUGCUUUGCUCUGAACAGCAGAAGGCUUCGGUCCCAACUGGUAUUGCCGAAGCAGUGCACGAAUUCCAUCGCAUGGUCCUGCGUCAGG